CAAUCAGAAUGUUGAUUUCAGAACAGAAGGACGUGAAUGGUCAGUUUGCUCUGCCGGAACAACGUGCUCACGUAAACACAUGCACUCUAGGCUUGCGUAACUCACUUUGCUCACCUGCAAGAUGCCCACGUCUCCCGUGAAAACGCGGAUUCCUAUCACCAGCUUCGGGCAUUUGAUAACGGAAGUGAAGAAACAGCUGUUUGGGAUCGAGGCGCCAUCUUCUGUGGAACUCACCGGAUGGAGGAAACAUUUCAACAGUUACACUCUGCAGGGUCGUCGAAAUUGUGUCUUGGCUACUUACGGGAUGUUGGUGAUCGCAGCAGCUGCCUAUGCGAUGAGCAGACGGAGCAGAGAAGACAAACAGAUGCCCACCUCCACAACUUAAAAGUCCUGCCUCUUACAUCAAUGCUGACAAAAUUCAGAGUAUUAUUUAUGAGCUGAAGGAAAAAGGGAAAAUGUUAUUGUUGGACAAUGAUUGAUCUUAGGUUGCAUGUCUGAUAAUAAAGAAUUUGUUUUCUCACAUUAUAGAAAAAUGGAAAUGUUGACACACAAUGAAGCUGCACAAUUGA